rnacentral:lncRNA from 1 species
UGCCCGCUGCAUCCAGUGUGGCUGGAGGCGACACCGGCUCCAAAAGCAGGAGAAGCAGAGGCGGGCGGCCGUGAUCAUUCAGGCAGGUAGGUGAGCUGGUCCAUGGCGGUGUGGCCAACCAUCCUGGCAGGCUUAUCUCAUAAAGGCCAAGUAUAGUGCCACACCUGGGAGCCCAGCACUGGGGGCCUGAGAAGGAAGAUCUCGUUUGGUGCCAGCCUGGACUACGUAGAGGCCUUGUCUCCAAGAAAACAAUAUGAAUUUGUUUUUUUGCAAUGCCACAAGUCAAACCCAGGGCUUCAGUCAUGCUAGGCAAGAGCUAUACCACAGAGGUACAAAUCUACACAAACGAAAGGUUGUAAAGGCACAGAUAACCCAGAUUCCUCUUCCUUAGGCACUGCUGUGGACUGAGCCUGAGAUGGGCCCUUGGCAGUGAGAGCUCCCGAUGGCCCUUCAGUGUGUGGGUAUCUGCAAGACUGAACAGUGUUGCAUUUUUUAAGAUUUACUCCCAGGGUUGGGGAUUUAGCUCAGUGGUAGAGCGCUUGCCUACCAAGCGCAAGGCCCUGGGUUCGGUCCCCAGCUCCGAAAAAUAGAAAAGAAAAAAAAAAAAAAAAAA